UCACACACACACACCCCCCCUCCAUAACCCGGGCUACCCCACAAGUUCCCCCCCCCCGCCUUCUCCUCCUCCUCUCAGGAACGGCAGCCGCUGUGCCGUCGCCCCGGCGGCGGGUUGAAGUUGCCGGCGGAGUCAUGAUUCAGCACUUCUAUUUUUAACCGCCGGGGCGGCCGCGGGCGCGCAGAGACCGCCGGUUCUCCGCGCCGCUUCCCCCCCCUCCUCCCGCCCGCCGCUUUCCUAUGGGCUUUGCGCUAAUUGCCGCCGCCGCCGCGGUGGGAGGCCGGGGGGGGUAGGGGGACAGCAGCCGGAGGACGGCGUCAAACCGAAGGGGAAGGGUGCGGAGCUGCCGUGCUUGUUAUCUAAUUGGAGAUUCAAAGUACGUAUGAGGUCUUGGAUCGGGUGCAUUAGAACCAUCCUUUUGUCUCAGAGCAUCUCUUCAGGGAAGCUGAACUGCCGGGUGCCAGUGACAGGGCUUUCAAAACCAAACGAAGCUGUGGAAACAAGGAGGAGUCACCAAAGGAAAAGUAAGAGACGGGGAAUAAAGUGAAAGGGUUUACCUUUAAAAAUAGUCUUGUUAACUCCGAGGACUGCAGAGAUGAGCGCAUCUUCACUACAGCAACCCGCGGGUGAAUCACUGGUUUCAGUACAAAACUCGGCUCGGGGGCUGCAGCAAGAGCUCCACAGUGAUUUACAUCAACCACUCACCUGCCCCCAGAUGAUAUUCGGCAGAGCAGCUGUCUUGAUCUUGAGGACCAAGUGAUGGUUUGGACACCAGGAGACCAGCAUGCACAUCCAACCAUGGUCAGGGGUCCUCCUCAUAACUUCAGCCAAGUCAUUGUUUCUCUCCGUUUCAGUUCUCCGUUUCUAAAAUACAGGGAACAAUGCAAUGAGAGUUUUUAUUUUGCCGAGCAAUGCCCCCAGGAGCAAUCCUCCGCUUUGCCACGGACUGCUGCCACAUUAUAGAGGUCACUUCAGCAUAUCUGUGAAAGAGCCAGCUCUGGAGCUCCUGUCAGUCCAGUUGGCAGCCUCUUUCCCCUCCAUUUCCAUCAGCAAGACCUUCACACACCCGUGUCAGCCCUGGGACUGUGUCCAGCCACACAAGCUCAGCUGCCCUGGGCAUCACAGGCUGUGCCGACAACCACCUACUCUUGGGACCUGUGAUGUCCCUCCAGGCAUUUGCUCAGUCUCCAUGGGCCUCAGCUCACACAGGACCCUAUGUGCUGGAGAUACGAGUUCCCCCGUAUCACAAGGACCCUGGGAGGAGAAUUUAAUUCCUUCUUGCUCGUCAAUAACAAACUUUGAUAGGUCUCAGUGAAAGGCUCAGCCUGUUUUCAUCAAAAUAUUUAAACUAUGUGUGCAAGGGUCUCUUCCAACCUAGACGACUCUAUGAUUCUAUGAUUUAACCCAUAUAUCUGUCUGUAUGCACAUGCAUGUAUGUGAGAAUUAUUAUUCAAAACCGCCAUCAUGCUUUUAUGUAAAUUCUGGUUUAAAUUAUCGAAUUCACCUUUUCUAUAUGCCUGUGUAAGAUCAAGGUAUUUUUGGGAGUUCACUCCCAAAAAGCUUGUAUUAGGUAUUGACAUAAAUAAUAGCCCAUCACAAGCGAAAGCUCCAGAUUUAUUUAUAAUUAGCAAAUUGAAAAAGACAUCUCUUAACUGUUGCCUUGGACAGCUAUGAACACCACAGAGCUGCAGACCCCUGGAUCAGCUUUCUUGCCUUUAGACUGAGCCCUCUUUUCUCUACCCAUAGAAAUGGCACUUUGAAGACAAACUGGAUCAAAUCCCAACAUACUUUGAAGAGGACAAACGUAGACCUUUCUUUACUUAACUGUGCACUGGGCAAUCUAAAAACCAUAUAAGCACUAAUCUAUUCAUUAUUCCAUCUCCUCCUCUUUACUACAAUAAAGCACUGUUUUAUGCUUAUAUGCAUCAAUAAAGAGACCUAUAAAGAAAAUAAUGAACAUCCUUGAAUAUCUUCAGAGCAUACCCUAUUAAUUUUAAAAGGGACACAACAUACUGUACCCCUUGUAUUUCACCAGGAUAAAAGCCUAUAGAUUAAUCCCUAUUAAAACAGUUGGUAUUUUCAGGACAUGCAGAUGUAAUUUAUGGAGAGGCACAAUGCUCAUAAUAGCUCAAAGGCCACAGAAACUGUAGAUCUGUGUCUGUUACUGUAGUUGUACAGGCAUUCAUUGUACAGAGAGCAGUUGAAAAGGCAGAGUAUGUAAUCUGAAUACUAAAUUUGUGAAUAGUUUCUCACUUGGGCUGGUGAGGCUUUUCAAGAGCAGCGGAUGCUUUGUGGGGGACUUUGUAAAACAUUCUGCUAAUAUAUCACAUGGUUGCUGCAUUUUCUUCUCUUAUCUUUACUGUUAGGGCUUUAUUCAUGAAGACACAAUAUUUGAUUCUUAAAUGGGCACCAGCUCCUUCUCUGUACUCUUCACCUGAAUUUGGUGUGCUCGGUGUGAGACAAUUUUCACAAACAAAUACUUCUGCCUUAUUCUAUAAAGUGGACAACUUUAGAUGUAUAUAACCCAGAAGUAUACAAGAAAUAAAGAUCCUUUCCCCCA